rnacentral:antisense_RNA from 1 species
CCAGACACCCAUUUUCCUUCCCACUGUUCCCUCCCCAUGGAGAAGCCUGUGGCUGACUGACAGCUCAACUUGGAGAAGGUGUUACCUGGGCCAGGUGGGGAAGGUAGGGUUGUUUGCAGAGCAAAGAAGUGAAGGAAGUAUUAACCCUUUGCAUGGCCUCCUGAGAAUCUGACAAGACGUAAAUAGCCAAGAAUAUCUGUGGAACUUAAUCAGUGAGUUACAAUAUUUAUCACUGCAAGUGUGUUGUUCAUUGACACUAUAAAGCCAUAUGGAAUUAAGCAGCCUUGAAACACAAAAUGGAGAAAGGCUAAGAGCUGAGAAUUGUUGCCUUCAGGGAAAUAUAAUCAAUGUCAAGCAAACAACCACCCCAAAAUGGAAUGUCAGCCAUUAACCUCACAGUAGGUGACGAAAAGAUAUUACUUUUUCUCCCCUAUACUACCCAAGCCAGCCACCUCAAGAAAGAACAGUUCAUGUGCAGCCUAUUCAAUGUGAAAAAGAUGAGGGCGAAGACCUUUAUGAUGAUCCAAGUAAUGAACACACUGGAGAAAGUCAAACAGUCAAAACAAUGUCCCAGACUCCGUGAAGUUCCUGGGUAGAGAAGUAGACAGACGUACACCAUACCUAAUAAUUGGAGGUCCAAGAGAAUGAGAGAAUGGCAGAAAGAACUUUAGAGCAUGGGUAUGAUGGCUAGAGCUUGAGCAGCCAUUGUGGACAUCAGAUGAACCUGAAAGUGAAAACUAUGAGCUGAAUAUGACAAAGCAAAUAGAAAACUGGAUUCAUGAUGACACUGCAAAGCUGCCAGACCAGCUCUAGUCUGCUUCUCCCUAAUCUUCCUUACUA